CGGGUGAGUAAUGUAUGGGGAUCUGCCUGAUGGAGGGGGAUAACUACUGGAAACGGUAGCUAAUACCGCAUAACGUCGCAAGACCAAGAGGGGACCUUCGGGCCUCUUGCCAUCGGAUGUGCCCAGAUGGGAUUAGCUAGUAGGUGGGGUAACGGCUCACCUAGGCGACGAUCCCUAGCUGGUCUGAGAGGAUGACCAGCCACACUGGAACUGAGACACGGUCCAG
rnacentral:rRNA from 1 species